rnacentral:misc_RNA from 1 species
GAAAUGCGAUAAGUAGUGUGAAUUGCAGAAUUCAGUGAAUCAUCGAAUCUUUGAACGCACAUUGCGCCCUUUGGUAUUCCUUAGGGCAUGCCUGUUCGAGCGUCAUCUAAACCUUCAAGCCCUGCUUGGUAUUGGGUGCCUGUCCCGCCUCCGCGCGCGGACUCACCUCAAAUCCAUUGGCGGCCCCCGCGUCGGCCACGAGCGCAGCAGAAACGCGAACUCGUGAGCCCGUCCGGGCGGCUCCCAGAAGCUACACCCACCCAGUUUGACCUCGGAUCAGGUAGGGAUACCCGCUGAACUUAAGC